AUGAUAAAUGUAAUACAAAGAGCUUCUUUCCGGAUUGCAUUGAUGGGAAGAACUCGUCUUCUUAACGCCAUUCCUGUCAGACUUUUUUGGUCAAACAUUACUUUUAACUGGAAGCCUGGAAACAAGCAGGCACCAUCCUUCAGAUUUCUGGAGCUCUCUGAGGGUUUCCACUCCCUGGGUCUUUCUGGGUUGAACACCUGGGCCUGGGGGUUAAGAGGAUUGCUGACCAAGGAGGGUAGGCAGACCUCAAAGUGCUGCAAGAGGGUAAGCAUCUUGCCAUUCUUUUUCCUCGUCCCAGUAAUCUCCUCUACAAAGUCUUCUUGGUCCAGUUGCAAUGUUUGUAGGGACUUUCGUACCAGGACUCGUAUGGCAGCAUUCUGCAGGGUAGCUUUCGAUUUAAAUUCAUCUAUCCAUUCAUUUUUGUCCUUUGCAAAAGACCUUUCCUUUUGCAAAAGGUGUUUGGGGAUGUCUUGUAGCUCCUUCUCUAAAUCAUGCCUCACUAUUGACUAUAAGAUGAAAGAAAGAAGAACACAUGUCAAGUACAAAGGCACUUGAACUGAUUUUUCAUUGAAUGCUGCCCACCAAAUUUUGCUGUGUUAAAAAUAUACAAGUGUAGAGAUGAUCACACACACACUCUGAAACCGCCUGUUCCAAGCGGGGUUUGUGGCGAACCGGAGCCUAACCCGGCAACACAGGGUGCAAGGGGACACACCUAGAACGGGAAGCCAGUCCAUUGCAAAUGACCCCAAGCAGGACUCAAACCCCAGACCUGCCAGAGAGCAGGACUCGGCCAAGCCCACCGCACUGCUGCACCACCAUGCCCCCCUUGAGAUGAUCACACACACACACACACACACACACACACACACACACACACACUUUCAGAGCCGCUUGUCCCAUACGGGGUCGCAGGGAACCGGAGCCUACCCGGCAGCACAGGGCGUAAGGCCGGAGGGGGAGGAGACACACCCAGGACGGGACGCCAGUCCAUCGCAAGGCACCCCAAGCGGGACUCGAACCCCAGACCCACUGGAGAGCAGGACCUGGUCCAACCCACUGCGCCACCGCGCCCCCCCACUUGAGAUGAUCAUUCCUUUUCAAUUUGGUAAGUAGAAACAUUAUGAAUCAAGAACAACAAAAAUGUGUUUUUAACUGAAAACAAGUCAGCUGGAAUGCAUGUAAUGCCAACCUUGAAUAAAGUAAUGAGAAAAGAUGGUUUGACA
rnacentral:lncRNA from 1 species